UAGAAUUAUCCCAAAUCGAACUUGUCAACUUUAUGGCCAUUUUGGUUACUUUCAUUUUGUGUACACACGUACUAUUUUUAGGUGUAUUGAUUAACUUGAUCUUUUAAACGUUUAGAGAAAAGUAUAGUCAGUUUCAAAUUAGAUCGCAGACAGAUCAGCUGUUUUUAGUAAGUGACCUAGAUUUUACUAUUCAUGUAUUUUCACUAUUGUAGCACACACUGCAAUUCUAUUUAGAUAUAUUGUAAUUGAUUCAUAAUUAUUAUUUAUGAUAUUAGCUUUUAAUAAAGCUGCUUUUAUUUAAUUCCAACAAAUCUUAUUCUUGAUUAUUCAAAGUUUGGACUUCAAAACAGUUUUAUUCCUUCGACUUUAAAAUUGAUAUUUAUAUAAUAUCUGCCAACCAUUUACAAUAACGGUUGGCGCUUCAAUUGGUGGCAGCGGUAAAAAGAACAUUUAAAAAAAAAAAAAAAGAAAAAGAGAGGAAAAAAAGUAAUACAUAAAAAAAAACCAACAACAUACAAAUCAGCAUAUAUUGAAACUCAAACUGUGGUUUACAUAUGAUAUUAUAGAACACCAAGAGUUAUUGAAAUUCA
rnacentral:lncRNA from 1 species